rnacentral:rRNA from 1 species
UACGUAGGUCCCGAGCGUUGUCCGGAUUUAUUGGGCGUAAAGCGAGCGCAGGUGGUUUAUUAAGUCUGGUGUAAAAGGCAGUGGCUCAACCAUUGUAUGCAUUGGAAACUGGUAGACUUGAGUGCAGGAGAGGAGAGUGGAAUUCCAUGUGUAGCGGUGAAAUGCGUAGAUAUAUGGAGGAACACCGUUGGCGAAAGCGGCUCUCUGGCCUGUAACUGACACUGAGGCUCGAAAGCGUGGGGAGCAAACAGG